GAAAACGCUCCUUGCGGCUACGGAUUCCUCAGGCCGCAAGCGACGCUUCUGAGAAUGUACAGAAAGCUCCCUUGGCGAUUUCUGAUUCCCCGAGUCGCCAACGGUGUUUCUGGGGCCGUGCGGAGAUCCCUCUUUGGCUGUUGCUGCCUCCCGGGACUGGAAAAAAAAGUGCAUCUGAAACGUGAUUCCUCCCUCGCGCGCUGCAGACAGGGACUCUGAGCGCGUGCAAAGGGCGUAGGGGUGGGGAGAGCCCCAUUUGCAACGGCUGCCUCACCAGCUGGAAAUAGUACAUCUGAGCAUGUUCAGAGAGCCCCCAUUUGCAAGUCCUAUCUCCCCAGCUGGAAAUGGUACAUCUGGGCAUAUACAGAGAGCCCCUUUAGCGACUGUUGUCUUCUUGAGCUGGAAACAGCACUUCCCUUCCCAGCGCACCCCUCUAGGACGGUUUCCUCGUGGGCAUCAAGCAGCACACCUGACCAAUACAACAGGAAGCCACCAUUGCAGUUACUGGAUCUUGGGGGCCACAGGGUGCAUCUGAGCAUGUACAGAGCACCCCUCAGGAUUGCUGCCUCUCAGGCCAGGGCAGUAUUUCUUUCUUUCAGAAAUCUAACAUGUGGGAGAAAACUCUUCCGUCUGGAGGCACCCCGCUCCAAGACAUACACCCUGCCUCUUCCUCCUCCUCCUCCAAUAUCCGUUCUGGAGAUGUCAUCGCCACUGAGAUGCUCUGAGCCUUCAUAAUCAACUGCCUCUCAGAGCCAUUAUUUGUAAUACUGAUGUACCUCAUAUAUAGGACUACACUACAGGAUCAUAUAAAGUAUAUACAUACAGAAACCAGAGAUGCAGAUUGAUUUUGUCCAGUAUUGCAACUAUCCAGACAUUUCUGUACCUGACCUGUGUGUCCAGCUCAUCCAGAUAUUUCCAAUGCUGCAGAAUUGAUAUUCUUGCCAUCAAUAACGAUUUGGAAACAAGAUUUUUAGAUUU